AUUUGCAUAUGUUCCAGUGUUAAAUUGUGUUUUUUGCUCUGAGCAAAUGUGCACUACCCAGAUAAAUAGCUUUAAACAUUUCCUUUUGACUGCCUAAGACUUUUGCACCAUACUGUAUUUACGUAAAGUGGUUGAUUGUUUAAUCAGUAUCUCCUAGUUUUAUCCAGGUAUAUAAUUCAGAAGCGGCUGCAGAGGGUGUACAACUGCAAGACCCUGUGGACUGCAGCUCUGACCUUCAAUCAGCGUAGACUUUCCAUAAUGCGGGGCAGUAGAAUGUUUCACCAUGGUAACCAGGCGAUGUUCCCCUACAUCUAAUCGCCGUGCUAAUGUGCCCGUCGAUCGAGACGAAGCACCUGAAGAUCAACACGCUGCUGUGAGCAAGCCCAAGGCUCCUCACUCCACCGCUAAGAAUGUGCUCAGGACAGGACUGAAAAAUGUGGACGGCUAGUUUUGCAUUACAGUAAGAAUUCUCCGAUUUUCUGAGCACUAAUAAUACUGGGUGUCUAUAGAGCAGCUUCCAGUGGUCUGCAUAAAUGUUUAAUAGUAAUUCCAUUCCCAUAGUUUUAGGACUGGUCUGUCGCUGCUACCGCAGACACUUUCUUGUUAGUGCGACAAACUCCAAAAGUAUUCUACGCAUCUUUUUCAAACUUUGCAGACACACUGUAUGGGUGAAGAUCUGGACCGGAUCAAGUUUUUGAGAUGAAUUGCCCCAAAAUUGAAGCAACGUUGCUUAACGGCAGCUAAGGGAAAGUUCCCCCAAUCCUUAGCUGUUACUUAUGUGAUAGGUAAUGAUGUGAUAGGCCAUACUUAGAAAUUCUGGGUCCCCUGACCAGUUUUAUGUCAAAUUUUACAUAUUCAAGGGCCCGUAUCAAGUGCUGAUUGCCCUGAAGAUGUCAGGAAACACAUGCCCCUUUAAUGCACCUGUUCUGGUCUGUUACCAAUUGGUGGUCGUUGGUUUAAGAAGGGUUACAAAGCCCUGUAUGAACAGUACAGUACAGAAGGCUGCACAGCUCAAUGAGAGGUUUUCAUUGCUUAGUCAAGCUCAGACUCAGAUCGUUAGUGCAGCUGUGUACCUGCAGCUUGUUCGC